CCUACGGGAGGCAGCAGUGGGGAAUAUUCGGCAAUGGACGCAAGUCUGACCGAGCGACGCCGCGUGAAGGAAGAAGGCUUUCGGGUUGUAAACUUCUGUUAAGGGGGAAGAGCAGAAGACGGUACCCCUUGUAUAAGCCACGGCUAACUACGUGCCAGCAGCCGCGGUAAUACGUAGGUGGCAAGCGUUGUCCGAAUUUACUGGGUGGAAAUGGCGUGCAGCCGGAGAGACAAGUCAGAUGUGAAAUCCGCAGGCUCAACCUGCGAAAUGCAUUUGAAACUGGUUCCCUUGAGUAUCAGAGAGGUCAUCGGAAUUCCUAGUGUAGCAGUGAAAUGCGUAGAUAUCGAGAGGAACACUCGUGGCGAAGGCGGGUUACUGGACAUUAACUGACGCUGAGGCACGAAGGCCAGGGGAGCGAAAGGGAUUAGAUACCCGUGUAGUC
rnacentral:rRNA from 1 species